rnacentral:rRNA from 1 species
UUAGUGGCGAACGGGUGAGUAACACGUAAACAAUCUGCCAUUCAGACGGGGACAACCUAGGGAAACUUGGGCUAAUACCGGAUACGAUCCUUUUAACUCAUGUUAGUUGGAUGAAAUCCCGCAAGGGGCUGAAUGAGGAGUUUGCGUCUGAUUAGCUUGUUGGUAAGGUAAUGGCUUACCAAGGCGAUGAUCAGUAGCUGGUCUGAGAGGAUGAACAGCCACACUGGAACUGAGACACGGUCCAGACUCC